GUGAUGUUGACUUAAAAUUGUAGUCAACAAUUACAAGUGUAACAUUUAGGAGGCUUCUACAGAGUAUCCAGUCGAAGGUAUUUCAAAAUAAACGNUUUUAAAUUUGAUGAAUUAAGACACAAACAAAAAAUAACUUGGAAUCAAAUACAAUACAUCAUGGAAAUUUCUCAGAAUGAGAAAAUAUUUAAUGUAAUCAAUGAAGGAUUAAACAAAAAAGGCUCUACAUAUAAUGUAGGUAUCACGGGAACGAAAAGUGACAAAUUAAGUUUAGUCAAACAAAACCUUGCAAAUUAAGUUUAGUCAAACAAAACCUUGACAGUGUGAGAUCACGGUUUAUGGACAGAACCUUUGGUUAUAUACUGAAGCAAAUGUAUUACUAUUAUACAUUCGCGAUCCUGCUGAUAAAUGAUAAGGCUUAUGGUAUCUCGGAUGAACAAAUUAUUAGAAUAAUUAAAUUGCAUUCAAAUCAACAAUACUGUAUUUUUACGUUUCUGCACGAUUACGGCAAAUAUGAUGUCGAAAAUGCACUAGAAACAAUGAUGUAUUUAAAAUUGUUUACUGAAACUAAUCUCGAAUUAAUACAGACAAAUUUAAAGCGUUUAGUAAAUAAUAUUGAAUCAUAUAAACUCGAAGAAAAUAUUAGACACCCGAUGUAUGGUGAAGUGCAGGAUUUUAAUGGCAGUAUACGCGACCUUGAAGUUGGCUAUGAUGAAUUAUUGCAUAAUAUCAAAGAAGACAUUUAUCUUAGCUCAAAUCUGUUUUGUGAUGUAACGGGUUCUCAGCUUAUCAGUGAUGAUAUGUUCAGUAAAACAAAUUUUAAAACUGAUAAUUUUAUGCAUUACGUAUUUGUGUCCGAAGAAUGUAACGUGAAAGUAAGUUUUUUUUUAAUGUCUUUAAUUGAUUAUAAUUCAAAUUUCUAAUUUUAAUUAUUAUACAGAAAAUUACUGUUUAUAAAAAAUUAGAUCAUAUGUUAACAUAUAUUUGUAUUUAAUUUUCUUAGUUUGUGAAUGCUAAUAGUGAUAGUGAACUCCAUUCGGAAAAACAUCAUAUCGAAUCGUGGGAUUGUAGUAGCAUUUUGGUAAGUUCAACAUUUUUAUUAUGUAAAUUUGCAUUAUAGAUUUUAUACAAAACAAACACAUUUUUCUUAUAUCUUAUUUCUAUAUGCAAUUUAUUAACUGUAUUUGCCAUCGGGUAUUCUAUUUUGAGCAGUAAAUCAGAUAAAUGAUUCGUUAUACUUUUACUUAGCAAUAAUGUGUUAAUGAGAUUUGUACGUUUUAUUAUCAAGAAACUCGAGUAAAGAAUAUAUCACGACUCAUAUUUGUCUAGAGAAAUUUCAAGAGCAAAAUUAUGAAUUAUCAAGGUUUAAACAUGUAUUUGUAUUAUAAGGAAAAUUAAUUUUAAUUUUAAUUUUAUUUGCAAUGAUUAAUGAAACUAUUCGGUUUUGUAUUGUUUUAUGUUUAAGGUUUGAUAAUAUAUAUACAUAAAAUAGCUAAUGAUAAUAUUCCUUUUCUGUUUUAAAAAUAAAUAUUCUUUAAACGAUAUAAAUUAUAUUUAUUAGUUUUAGAUUCUGAGCUAAAUGAUUUAUGUAUUAGUUUUAUAAUGAUGAUUAUAUUUUUAUUUUUUUUUCUGUGUACACAAUUUUUAACAGAAUUCUAACUCUAAUGUAUCAAGUGUGGCAUAUAUUUUAAAAGAAAUUUGUAUCUAGCUGAUACUUUAGCAAGAGCAUUUUUUUAUUUGAUUUUCUCAGUGGUUUUCAUAAUAAUAUGAAAAAAACGUAGCAAAACCGUUGGAAAAAUGCAUGGAUAAACAGACAAAUAUUUAGAGUACGGCGAAACGAAUUCAUGAUUUUAUAUUUUUUUAAUUUAUAUUUUCUACCAGAAACCUGGCUUUAAAAAAAUGUUAUAAGAAAUCCUCAGUAUAAAAUAUUCAAGGAAACUUUAAAUUUUGACAGAAAAUGUAUAUUUAAUUUUUUUAAACGUAGUCAAAUUUUUAAAAAUUUGACUUUUUUGAGCUAUUUGUAGAAAUUUGUUUUUCACGUAAUUUUCAUUCGAUCGGUACUUCUCUAUAAUUCUUACUAUUUAUACAAUAAAAAAAAAAAAAAUAAUAAAUAAAACAAUAUUGACUGUAAUAUUUUAAUAUCAAAUUUUGUUGAGAAUCUUAAAUACGUUUUAAGGCCUUUAAAAAUUUGUGUAACAGAACUUCGCUCAGAAUUAUUUUGCGUUUCAAAUUAUUUAUUUUUGCCUAUUGAUAUACAUUCAAAUUCCCUGCUACCUUCUCAACUUCUUUUCCACAACAGAGACCCACCCAUUGUGCAAAGUAUGUCCGUCUUUUAUAUUAUUUAUUUAAAAAAAUUAUAGGAAUAACAUGCAUUCACACUUAUAAUUACAUUGUAUUGCGUUGUAUUGUAUUUUUUUUUUUUAGGGAUCCGAAGAAUACGGAUAUAAGGUCCAAACAAAUAAUGUAAAUAUUCUAUUAUUUGAUAUUUAUUAAUCGUAUUACUUUAUAUGUUUACAAUUUAUAUUUAAUUAAUUAAAACAACUCUAAUAUCAUUUAACCAUAGAUAUUACAAUAAAAUCCAAAAUAAUUCAAAUUUUUUAUAUAAAAUAAUAGGAGUCCUAAAGUGUAUUUCCCCUAAUCGGUAUAGAUUUUUCAUAGUAAAUUUACUUAAAUUUUCCAUUGGUCCAUACCGGAUCCGAGGUGAAAUUCAUCGGAUUUAAGCAAAAUAUUGUCAUAUUGGUUUUUAUAUGUGCCGAAUCCCCGGGUCUGAUCCGGAGGUUCGGGUCGAAAAAUAUUGCGCUAGACAAUUCCCUCCCAGUGUUCCUGGAAGGAUUUACUCCAUUCCUGAUAUUUCGUGGUCAGUGUAAAUGAUGAACAUGUUGGUGUCCGAGAUUUAUCAUUUGUCAUUCAUCAUAAUUUAACAUAUUCGAAAAUCUGUUGGUCAGGAAAACAUUGUUUUGAAUAAAAGAAUUCUGAAACACUGAUAGAAUUGGACAGCCUUAUGAUUUAAGUAGGUAAUUGAAAGUAUAUAGCGAUGAACCGCGGAAAGUAUUCAGUUGUAAAGAAUUAGUUAUUAUUUUAUGAGUACCCACUAUACAAGAGAAACACGCGGUAUGUCUAUUGGCUAACUAAUGAUCAUCAUCAUUCAUAUAGAGUACUGGUGUCUGCAGGACAAGUAUGAAGUUCAGAGCUUGGAACCGAUGUUUUAACCGGAACAUUUUGAAAAUGUUAGAACCGGUACGUAACCGAAAAAAUUUUUUGAUUUUCAUAGGAACCCUAAUCCAAACCGGAACAGAUGUUUGUUAGAAAAAAAUUUUUACUUUUUUUGUCGGUUAUGAUUUUAUCUGACUAUUCUUUCUAUUUAGGUAGUACAUCUACAUGUACCCAUUUAGAUGUACUACAAAUAAUAAAAUUGAUUCAUUAAAUUUGGUUGAUGUUGUCAACGUUUACAUGUACUUGAAAUUCUAUAAUUCUAUAAUCUAUCAGUUAUUAGAGUAGUAAUCAAAAUAUAAAUAUAUAAAAUAAAUAAUAAAUAUUGUCAUUCGCCCGUCGGUAUGUAAGACCUGUCGUCGUAAUUAUUUUCUUAUAUUUAUAUAAUUGUAUAAUUGUAUAGUUUAUAAAUAGUUUUGGAUGACGACCGCUGGUUAUGUUUAUGUGUAACAAAAUGAUAAUCAAAACGAUUAAAAUAAUAUAAAUUGUUAUUGGGUUGUGAGUUAAACUAAUAAAAUAAUAUACUCUUAUACUUCCACCUAUAUUUAUGUACGCAAUAUUCAAAUACACAUUAAAUAUAAUAUAAUAACACGCUUAAUAGUUCCUGAACAGUUUUCACAAAUAUAUACACAUAAUAAAUUGCCGACUAGUGUAGUCUAUACUUAUAAAACGAUGACUCCAACAAAAUAACCGUCAAUCGUUAUCUAAGAGGUGUCUGAUUACAAUUUAGGAUACGAAAAGUGAUAAGAUACUAUUUUGGAGGGCCGUAAUAUUUUCAAUUCUGUUGGUACCUAAGUUUAAAUUGUAUUGUUUAAAUUACUAAAGCAAUUGGUAUUUUUUUUUAAUUAUUACAUUUCGAUAGAAAUUAUAUCCCCACAUGUUUUGGUAUUUCGUUUAAAAUAAAUAAUCCUAUGUCCCAUAUACUUUAUCUUUAAGAACACGGACAAAAUAAUUUAUGAUGAUUUCUCUUGCAUAAAAACAUUCAUGAAAACUUAACUGCAUCAAAAACUAAAACGAAGCCAGUAUAAUUCACGAGUAACCUGUCCUAUUUAAUUUUUAUGUCGUGAUUUUGGAUAGGUGUACAAAAAAUUAGACUGACCGACAAUUAAGUCUAAUUGUACCAUUAUUUGUAAGUUGUUGUAAAACAUAGAUUUCCGAAAAGAAAAUUGUUCGAAAAAUCACUUGGGAGUUUAAUUGCACAAUACCCAAAACUUCUUAAAAUGUUGGUUAAAAUAAUAAUUAUUUUUUAAAGUUUAAAUUAAAUUUAUAAUUAUAUAUUAUGCUUACCGGUUGUUUUUGAAAGUAUUUCUCUAAAUCACGAUGCGUUGAAUAUUUAAUUUCAAAUAAUUCAUACAAAAUUGAAAGUGUAACGAUUUUUAAAAUAACAGAGAUAAUGUGUGCUUUAUCUUAUAUUGAUCACUUUAUAUAUAUCCAAUAUUUUAAACUUUUUAUGAUACCUAAAAACAACAGAUAUUUGUCCAUGGUGCGAAUUAUAUCGAUUUUUAUGUUUCCUAAAUUAAAUUUGUUAUUCACACCAACAAUUAUUAUACUCUUUUAUUCCGACUGUACCUGUAAUUAUGUAGUAUCUAUGAAACUAUAUUGAAACGAAGGUCGCAGAUGUAUCACACAUUUAAAUAUAUUUUUGCUGAUAUAUUAUAAUACAAGACAAAGGAAUGACAGUAUAGUUUAUGCCUAUCUAAAAUAGAUUAUCAAGAAUUAUAAUAUGGUGAACUCAAAAAUUGUUCAUAAGACAAUUUAAUUAUAAACUAAAUAUAAUAUUAUGUAUAAGACAAUCCACCUGAAACUUAAUUUACAAAAAGUCAAAUUUUAAUUAAUUGUUAUCAUUUUUCAAGCGUCGGAGUGAAGAUUUGUUAAAAAUAUUUUUUUCGGUAAUGUACCUACCAUACAUAAUUAUACUUUAUAUACAUAACAUAUAAUAAUUUUACCAUCUAGCUUUAUCUAUUUCUAUAUUUUGUGUUAUUUUGAACUGAUUUGAACCAAAAGAUUGAUAAUUUACUUGAUAAUUAGUAUAUAGGCCAUAGAAAUUUAUUCACUAAUUAUUCCGUCAACUAUGAACAAAUUUUCGAAUGAUAUUUUAUUUUUUCAUUCAAUAUUCUUUUAAGACAGUCCCAUAGUCAUUUGAUCAAAAUUUGAUUAUAAAGUUCGGUGAUACGACUAGUUCAAAAUAUUACCAAUCGUCAAUACUUAAUAUUAUACCUAUUUAUUGUGUAUAAUUAAUAGGUAGGAUGAAGAGAUUGCGUAUGAUGUACCUCAACAUAACAAAAUAACAGACUUAAAAUACACGAUAACUAAAAAAAUGUACAGUAGUUCCAAGGGUUUUUUAAAAAUUGAUUUGUAUUAAAAUUUCGGUACCACAUUAAUAUAAAAAAAAUAGCCAUUUAUCACUAAAUGGGGUCCUAAAUAUUCGGCAUCCCUUAAAUGAAUAGGUAGAAGGGAUACGUAGAAUGGGAAAAAAAUCUUAAAACUACUGUAAUUAACUUUUAAGAAAUUUGUAUGUUUUUGUUCGAUAAUAAAUUUUUGAAAUUUUAAAAAAAAAAUAAAAAAAUUUACAAUAAUUGAGUUUUAGAUUCAAAAUAUAGCAAAGGUUUUAUUGGUUUUAUUGUGUAUUUUUUUAAUUUUUUAUUUUUGUUAGUUUUGAUGUACAAUUUUGAACAGAGAAUUUGUUCAAAUCGAAAAAAAAAAUCACGUAUCAUAGUAAAACCAACACAUUCCUCACCAUGCACUGAAUCUUAAAUAUUUUUUAAAAUAUAAUAUAAUAUUAUAACUAAAUGUAUUGUAUCCCUUCUAUUAAUAUUUUAUUAAUUUAUAUCAUUGUUUUGGAGUUAACUAAUAAUUACAAAAUGUUACACAAUGUCAAUAUAUUAUUUAUAAUAAAUUUGGCACCCCCCAAUCAUACACACUUUUAUAUUUAUAAUUUUUCCGUACACCAUAUAACGAGAAGAACUGACACAUGAAAAAAUUGUUUGUUUGUUCAAUAAAAUUAAGUGUUUUUUUCUAGUUAUAAUUACUAGAGCUGUACACUAUGAUUUCUUUGUUUUGUUUUUUUUUUUUAAACUAAACAAAUUGUUUAUGCAAUUGUCAAGAUAAGAAAAAAAUUAAUAAUUUGAUUUAAUUAUAAAAUCUUAAAUAAAAAACAAAAAAUUUAAAAUAGUUAUAAAUAUGCUUUAUCACUUAAGCCUCUUGUAAAACACUUUUCUACAGAUGAGCACAUUUCUUCUAGCAAUCACUCUUUUGUCCUCUCUUCUAUCCUCUUUUUCCAUUUUUAUACUUUCUUUUUGCGUCUAUGAGUUCUACUAUGUUUGUACUAAUCAAUGGCUUUAUAGGGCUGUUCUUAAUUUUCUCUAAAAUCUUAUAAGCUGUUUUUGUUAUUGUUUCUUUAAGAACUUUCUAUGUAUCCUCAUAAAUUUCCGGUUUUUCUCAUUAAGACAUACUCUUGUCGCCAUAACUACAAGAUAAUAAUUCAAAUUAUUAAGUCUAUGUCUACCCCCGAAAAGCUUUUAUUUUACUUAACUUGAUUUCUUUAUUUUUUUCUAAUUAGUAUAUAAUCCAAUUGAUACCAAUUACCUGCUUAUAUAAGUUUAUCACCUCUUUGGUUUCUUAGUGCGACUUCAAACUUUCCUGUUACUCCUGGUUCAGUCCCUUCGCCUACAACCACACUCCAAUAUACUAAAAUAAUUAUAUUGUCUCUUUCCUUUGCCAUUUCUAUUAUUUCUAAAACUAGUUCGUACAUUUCUUCGAAAUCUUCGUCUUUAUGAUUAGAAGUUGGCAUGUAAAUCUGUUUAAUAAAUGUGUCUGUUUGUUUAGUUUUUACUUCGAUAUAUCCAAUUCUAUCAUUGAAGUGGAUAGUACUCUAGAUUUUAUGGCCAAAUUCUUUAUUUUCAAUUAGUUCCAGUCUGUUAAUUUUGUUCUCAUCGCCAUCAAAUAUUUCUCUGUAAUCUCCCGACUAGUAAUCUAGUCCAGUCCAUUUUAUUUCAUUAAUACCUAGAACAUAAAUUGUAUAACUUUCUAUUUAUAACUUCAAAUUUUAAAAUUUUUCAUAUACUCCUAGUGAUCUGACAUUCCACAUCACCAUUUGCCUCUUCGUUAGACCUUUUGACGAACAUCUGAACGGGGGACAUAUUUACCUCUGGAUAUUUUUAUAUCUACAAUCGUCAUUUCAUCAUUAUCACUAUUACAUAACAAUUAAAUAGUAUUAUAUUGUUCGAUUUGAAUUUUGUAACGAGAAUUAAAAAGAAAAUAUUCAGNGAUAAAAUAUAUAAAAUAGAGGAAUCAUAGUAGAUUCUAGUAGGCUCCAGUAAUAAUUAAAAUCUAAACAUUUAAAAAUAUUGAACACAAAAAAAGGUAUUUCAAUUGUCAGAUUAUUAUGUUCACUCUGUAUAUUAUAUUCCUCAAUUAUAGCUCAAUACCAUGGCGACUACGAAUGAUAAGGUGAACUGGACGUGGCCUAAUGAAGUAACUGAUACGUCAAAAAAUUCAUACAAUUUAGCCACAUUACAGAACAAAUUGAAGACCCAUUAUAAUUACCAAAGUAUCGUGCAAUACGAAAAUAUCGCGGCCGACGUGAUAUUAUACGUCGCGUUAAAAGAAGGGAUCAAAGUAUUGAAAGCAAUAAAACUUUAUAUUAAGUACUGUAUAUCAGAUAAUGAGAAUUUAAUUUUUAAUUCGCAAUUAAUUACUAAUAGGACAUUAUUGUUAACAUUCAAAUAUCACUUUGACGCUUUGAUCGAUACGAUAUUGCGUAAAAGACGUAUCAAUUUAAAGAAGAAUGCCAGUUUAAUAGAGUUUAAAGAGAUAGUAACAUAUUUAUUAAAAUUAAUGGAUCCUUUGUUUAUCAAAGUUGGUACCGAAAAUGAUGAAGAUAGGAAGGUCGAAUCAUUCUUAGACAAAAUAGGUACAAUAGAUGAAAAUGUUUCAAUUGCUUCUGAGAUUGAUGGAUUUGGAAAUCUAAGAGAAUUCUAUAUGAUUAAUCCUAUAUUAAAUAUUCGUAGAUUAAACCAUUUUGUAAGUUACGAGUGUAAUGCUACUCAUAAAUAAAACGUAUCGGUAAAAUAUAACCAACAAUAUUAUA
rnacentral:lncRNA from 1 species